UACGUAGGUGGCAAGCGUUGUCCGGAUUUACUGGGCGUAAAGAGCGCGCAGGCGGUCGUUCAAGUCGCGUGUGAAAGCCCCCGGCUCAACUGGGGAGGGUCACGCGAUACUGAUCGACUCGAAGGCAGGAGAGGGAAGUGGAAUUCCCGGUGUAGUGGUGAAAUGCGUAGAUAUCGGGAGGAACACCAGUGGCGAAGGCGGCGACCUGGGUCGAGACUGACGCUGAGGCGGACGAAAGCGUGGGGAGCAAACAGG
rnacentral:rRNA from 1 species